rnacentral:lncRNA from 1 species
AAAGAAAGAAAGAAAAAUUAGCCUGGUGUGGUGGUGGGUGCCUGUGGUCCCAGCUGCUCGGGACGCUGAGGUGGGAGGAUCACCUGAGCCCAGGAGGUGGAGGCUGCAGUGAGCUUAGAUUGCAGCACUGUGCUCCAGCCUGGGUGACAGAGUGAGACCCCAUCUCAAACAAGAAGCACCAAAAGGUGUCUGAGAUCAGGCACGGUGGCUCACGCCUGUCAUUCCAGCACUUUGGGAGGCCGAGGUGGGUGGAUCACCUGAGGUCAGGCAUUUGAGACCAGCCUGGCCAACAUGGAGAAACACUGACUCUACUAAAUGUGCAAAAAUUAGCCGGGCGUGGUGGCACACACCUGUAGUCCCAGCUACUCCAGAGGCUGAGGUAGGAGAAUUGCUUGAACCUGGGAGGUGGAGGUUGCAGUGAGCUGAGAUUGUACCACUGCACUCCAGCCUGGGAGCUGAGAUUGUACCACUGCACUCCAGCCUGGGCCCUAAAGCGAGAGCUUGACGGUGGGGUGGGGGUGUGGGAUGGACCUUCUGUGGUCCCAGCUACUCGGGAGGCUGAGGUGGGAGGAUCGCUUGAGCCCAGGAGUUUGACACCAGCAUGGGCAACAUGGUAAGAACCCAUAUCUACAAAAAAAAAAUUUAAAAAUUAGCCGGGUGUGGUGUGUGGGUGCCUGUGGUCCCAGCUACACCACGAGUGGAAUUGUGACGUGCACAGCCUGGGUAAAUGGGGUUAGCUAUAUUCACCCUGAAGGGGGCACAUACCCUAUUAUUUCUAACACCACUGAACUCAGAAUCGGGACCCAGAUUCGCCGGGGCAGCGCGGGACGAGGCCUCUCCCGGGCUCCGUCUUCCCUGUUAAUAGACUGAGAGACGGAAUGAGAGCUUCGAAGGUGCUGGGGGAGGAGCAUUGGGUGUCCCCAGGUGGUGAGCUUGGGUGUGUGUGUGUAGCCGACAGUCUCCCAGGCUCAGUAUUCCCUGUUAAUAGACUGAGAGACGGAAUGAGGGCGUCCCCAGGUGGUGAGCUCAGGGACGUGUGUGUGUGUGUGUGUGUGUGUGUGUGUGUGUGUGUCCGUCAAUCUCCUGGGCUCCUGGGUUCCGUCUGCCCUGUUCAUAGAGACAGAAUGAGGGCGUCCCCAGGUGGUGAGCUCAGGGACGUGUGUGUGUGUGUGUGUGUGUGUAACCAUCAAUCUCCUGGGCUCCUGGGUUCCGUCUGCCCUGUUCAUAGGGAUGGAAUGAGGGCGUCCCCAGGUGGUGAGCUCAGGGACGUUGUGUGUGUGUGUGUGUGUGUGUGU